rnacentral:lncRNA from 1 species
AUAAAUUCAAAAAAUUUUUUUUUGGUAUCAAAUCGGUCGCAAAUCGGUCGCAAAAAUGAAAAAGGAAAUAAAAAAAAUUAAAUAUUAUUUUGAAACCAAAAUUUUUCUACACCUGUGAAAGUUGACAUAAAUGCAUAUAUACACACACGCAAUUCAAGAACAGUAUAAAAAUGUAAUUUUUAUUGUUCUGAACAAAUUAAAAAAUGAAAAUACAAAUGAAAAAAUAAAAGGUCGGAAAUCAAAUCUAUAUAUGCU